UCAGGCUGCCCUGAGCAGCAAACUGCCAGCCGCUGCUGUACCCUGACAAAGAAAGAUUCCUUUUUUCCCCACACAGGGAAGGGUCUCAGGGACAGCUCCACUCCCUUUCAAAAGCUGGGAGAUUUUAGUCAAGGAAAUUUUGGUCAA